GUCUGGGCUGUAAUGUGGAGUUGUUGACUUCUUCCUUGCAAAAUUUGUACCAUCUGUUCGAAUUUCAAUGAAAGAGGAUAGAAUUUUUGUUGAGUCCAAAUUAGUUAGAGUUUUUUGGUACUAUAUUUGGCACUUUGUUGACACGUUGUUUUUUUCUCGUCACAUGGUUGAUCAUCCAACAUGGUUAAUACAGGAAGGACCAGUUUAAUAAUGAAGACCCUCGAAAUAUUUAGAGGUUUUCCCCGUAUGAAUUUAAGGCCUCUCGUGGUUUCUGAGCCAUACCUAC
rnacentral:lncRNA from 1 species